rnacentral:rRNA from 1 species
CCUACGGGUGGCUGCAGUGGGGAAUAUUGCGCAAUGGGCGAAAGCCUGACGCAGCGACGCCGCGUGAGGGAUGAAGGCCUUCGGAUCGUAAACCUCUGUCAGCAGGGAAGAACGGUCACUGUGCUAAUCAGCAGUGAAUUGACGGUACCUGCAAAGGAAGCACCGGCUUACUCCGUGCCAGCAGCCGCGGUAAUAUGGAGGGUGCGAGCGUUAAUCGGAAUUAUUGGGGGGAAAGCGGUUGUAGGCGGGCUGCCAAGCCAAGGGUGAAAUUUCCGCGCUCAACGUGGGAACUGCCUUUGAAACUGGCGAACUUGAGUGUGUGAGAGGAGAGUGGAAUUCCAGGUGUAGGAGUGAAAUCCGUAGAUAUCUGGAGGAACAUCAGUGGCGAAGGCGACUAUCUGGCACAUAACUGACGCUGAGGAGCGAAAGCGUGGGUAGCAAACAGGAUUAGAUACCCUAGUAGUC